CGAACGGUGGCAGAGAAGACGGUCCAAUAGUCAACAGGUGACGUAAAACGUUCUAUCGAAUAGCAGACGAGCGCGUUCGAGACGCCCAAUCAGCGCAGGGCGGCGAUAUCUACAAUACGAUAUUCCACUGAUGAGAAGAUGAGCGACUUUCCAGUAUUGACAGAAGAUGGUGGGUGAGGAUGCAUCAUCUUCUGUCCUGGAUUUGUUCACUUGUUUCCUUGCUGUAUCUGGAUUGAUCGACCACGAUUUCUCCAUGAUGUUUGGUGACGAAGUGUCUCAGAAGUUCCUGGCAAAGUGGUCAACAUUCUUCAAGCCAAAAAUCAUUGCAGACUGCAAGACUCUUAAGAAUAUGGGCGAGCUGCUGUCAGGAACUGAACCUGAAUCUGAGGACUAAAAUGGAUGGGACAGCGAUAUGUCCUCAAUCCUUUUGCAGCUGCAUCUGCUCCCUCUAACCUCAAGAGGCCAGAAAAAAAUAUCCAAGAUCAGUUCAGCUCAAGCAAUCAGCCAUCUUGUGAGCUGUC